UGCGCAGGCGGUUAUAUAAGACAGAUGUGAAAUCCCCGGGCUCAACCUGGGAACUGCAUUUGUGACUGUAUAGCCAGAGUACGGCAGAGGGGGAGUGGAAUUCCGCGUGUAGCAGUGAAAUGCGUAGAUAUGCGGAGGAACACCGAUGGCGAAGGCAAUCCCCUGGGCCUGUACUGACGCUCAUGCACGAAAGCGUGGGGAGCAAACA
rnacentral:rRNA from 1 species